AGGUUCUUAAUUUCUUCAAUGCAUCACCAAGAGAGUAUAGCUGUAUAUUCACUUCUGGGGCAACAUCUGCAUUAAAGCUUGUUGGGGAGACCUUCCCCUGGAGCAGUCAAAGCAGUUUUAUGUACUCAAUGGAGAAUCAUAACAGCGUCCUGGGGAUUAGGGAGUAUCCUAAAUUGAAUAAACCUUUUCAUCGAAUUUUGUCAUGCUGAGUUCUAAUGUAUUAAUUUUCUCAGAAAGCUUUCUUCUUUGGUUGUAUAUUCAGUUGCUUAAUCUGCGGUACUCAAUCCUGCUUCAAAUGCUACUCUUUUUCACUGAACGUACUUUUUCAUCAAAUUUUGUCAUGCUGAGUUCUGAUGUAUUAAUUUUCUCAGAAAGCUCUCUUCUUUGGUUGUAUAUUCAGUUGCUUAAUCUGUAGUACUCAUUCCUGCUUCAAAUGCUACUCUUUUUCACUGAACGUACUGAUCCACUGUAUCAAAGGCCCCUGAAGAUUUCAUAAAUAUUCAGCAUUUUCUAGUCCCACCUCUUGCUGCUGAAGUAAGGUGUAGAAUCUCUACUUUUCAUCUCAUGGAUAUUGUUACACAUAUUCCUGGCUGUACUUCCAAGGAUAACUCUUAUACUUGACUGAUCCCAUAUCUAUCUAACCAGCCACAAAAAUUCUAGGCUUGUUCUUAAAAUAAGCCCAAAACUCAGAGGACCCAAUUCAUCUCUAAUUUUAUGUACUUUUAUCUAUGUGUUAAUAAUUUAGUUCAUACAGAUGACUUAUUACGACAGAACAAAAAGGAGAAAAGGUAUUACACAGUGUGAAGAGUUGGCAGAAACAGUCCUGUUGAUGAAGAUUUUUUCAUGAUUUUUAAUUUGG
rnacentral:lncRNA from 1 species